UGGGGAAUAUUGCACAAUGGGCGCAAGCCUGAUGCAGCCAUGCCGCGUGUGUGAAGAAGGCCUUCGGGUUGUAAAGCACUUUCAGCGAGGAGGAAGGUGGUGAACUUAAUACGUUCAUCAAUUGACGUUACUCGCAGAAGAAGCACCGGCUAACUCCGUGCCAGCAGCCGCGGUAAUACGGAGGGUGCAAGCGUUAAUCGGAAUUACUGGGCGUAAAGCGCACGCAGGCGGUUUGUUAAGUCAGAUGUGAAAUCCCCGGGCUCAACCUGGGAACUGCAUUUGAAACUGGCAAGCUAGAGUCUCGUAGAGGGGGGUAGAAUUCCAGGUGUAGCGGUGAAAUGCGUAGAGAUCUGGAGGAAUACCGGUGGCGAAGGCGGCCCCCCUGGACGAAGACUGACGCUCAGGUGCGAAAGCGUGGGGCAGCAAACAGGAUUAGAUACCCUGGUAGUCCACGCUGUAAACGAUGUCGAUUUGGAGGUUGUGCCCUUGAGGCGUGGCUUCCGGAGCUAACGCGUUAAAGUCGACCGCCUGGGGGAG
rnacentral:rRNA from 1 species